rnacentral:rRNA from 1 species
GACAGAGGGGGCAAGCGUUGCUCGGAAUUACUGGGCGUAAAGGGCGCGUAGGCGGGAUGGCAAGUCGGUCGUGAAAUCCCUCGGCUCAACUGAGGAACGUCGAUCGAUACUGCCGUUCUUGAGGAUUGCAGAGGAGACUGGAAUUCCCGGUGUAGCGGUGAAAUGUGUAGAGAUCGGGAGGAACACCGGUGGCGAAGGCGGGUCUCUGGGCAAUUCCUGACGCUGAGGCGCGAAAGCGUGGGGAGCAAACGGG